UGGGGAAUAUUGCACAAUGGGCGCAAGCCUGAUGCAGCCAUGCCGCGUGUAUGAAGAAGGCCUUCGGGUUGUAAAGUACUUUCAGCGGGGAGGAAGGGAGUAAAGUUAAUACCUUUGCUCAUUGACGUUACCCGCAGAAGAAGCACCGGCUAACUCCGUGCCAGCAGCCGCGGUAAUACGGAGGGUGCAAGCGUUAAUCGGAAUUACUGGGCGUAAAGCGCACGCAGGCGGUUUGUUAAGUCAGAUGUGAAAUCCCCGGGCUCAACCUGGGAACUGCAUCUGAUACUGGCAAGCUUGAGUCUCGUAGAGGGGGGUAGAAUUCCAGGUGUAGCGGUGAAAUGCGUAGAGAUCUGGAGGAAUACCGGUGGCGAAGGCGGCCCCCUGGACGAAGACUCACGCUCAGGUGCGAAAGCGUGGGGAGCAAACAGG
rnacentral:rRNA from 1 species